AAAGCACCAAUGGGCCUGGUGGCCAGGAAGAAUGGAAGAGGCAGUGGGUGCCUGGCCCAGGGACCCUCCUGUCUUGCUCUGGGUCAGGCCAAGCCUCUGAUGGAGAGGUCUAGGCUGGAGAUCAUGUGGUGAUGUGCGUGGGAGCCUCAAGAAACAUCUCCCAGAACAGAGGGCUUGGUACCCAAUAUUCUCAACUGGGUGCGGCAGGAGGCAAGAGAGAGAAGAAAGAGUCCCAGCCUCUCUCCAAGCUUUCUACCUACCAGGCCACUGUGAGGAUCUGUGUCUCCCCUAUGUGGAUCCACCAGGAAAUAUUAUUUAGAAGGUUCAUUUGUCUGGCGGAACUCGGAAUUCAGGGGCCAGUGAGAAGCUUAAUGGGCUCCAGGAGUCACUAGUGACAUCAUCAGCAUCCUGGACCCCCUCCUGCCCUGCUAGCCCCCCUGCACAUUCUAGAAACUGUACACGAUGGGGGACACUAGGGAGGACGUCCUCCUGUGACUGAUUCUCUCUGCUUCCAAGCUAGUAGGAGUUCAAGUUGUCUGGAGGGUGCAACUAAAUAUAAGGACUAAGCUAUGCUGGGUAUUUUUAUGUCAACUUGACACAAGUUAGAGUCAUUUAGGAAGAAAGGCCCUCAGUUGAGAAGACCCCCCACAUCCCUUUGGUUGGUAGACAAGCCUGUGGUUCAGUUUCCUGAUUGAUAAUUGAUUUGGGAAGGUCCAGGUCACUGUGGGUAGUGCCACUCCUGGGCAGGUGGUCCUGGGGUAUAUAAGAAAGCCGUUGAGUAAGCCAUGAGGAGCAAGUCAGUAAGCAGCACCCUAUAUGGUGCCUCUGUACCGACUCCUGCAUCCAAGCUCCUGCCAUGACUUCUUUCAGUGAUGGGCUACAAUGUGAAACUGUAAACUGAAAUCAAAUCCUUUCCUCCUUGCCAAGUUGUUUAUGGUCCUGGUGUUUCACCAUAGCAACAGAAACCCUAAGACACUAGCCUAGGCGGUAACUUUACUGAUCAGAGCUAGCCUGAGCCAUCAGAGAUAGAAUCCCUAGCCUUGGAGAAAGACCACCCUUCCCAGCUUCCCCUGCCUGCAGGUUCCAGUUUCUCAAUGCCAGAUAUAGAAACCAGACUUCUGGGGGACCUCAAAGGGCUCUAGCUUCCCACCUCCUACUGGUCCCUGUUUGACAUACAGGGAUCUCAGGUCUGCUGUUCAGGGGUCCAACCAAGUUCCAAGGAUGUCACGUUCCUAGAUGUACCGUGAGAAUUGAGAAGUGCAAACUGGGAUGGUCUGAGAAGCAGGCUGUUUAAUGCACAGUCCUGUGCCUGGAGCAGGGGCUAGGGGAGGAAACUGUCUUCUCAGGUAAGUCUCAGCACCUUUGACUUCUCUACCCACUUUGUAAUGCCUCUCUUGAAUGAAGGCUCUAGCAUUCACUGGGCUUUGCUCUUGGAUUCUUGGGGUUCUUGAAAAAAAACUUAUUUGUUCUUUGUAAAAUCAUCUGUAUGCACAGGAUUGUACACACACAAGUGGACAUGCCUCUGGAGGCAGGAAGAGUGGUCCUCUGGAGCUGGAGAUACAGGGGUUGUGAUCCACCCGACAUGGAUGUCUUCUGCCAGAGCACUACAUGCCUUAACCACUGAACAAUCUCUCCAGUCCAUCUCGAAGAUUCUUAUUCUAGCCAUGCAUGUUUGCUUCCCAUCACCUUGGAGGCCUGGAGAAGGAGGGUUACCCAGAUGUCCUUAAGGAGUCCUGUCCCCGACCCUGAUCUGUCUCUGCAGGACCCAAGUUAAGGAGUAAGGGGCAGUGAGCACUGCCUACUAGCUCUGAGGGUGAAGUGAGGUGGCAUGCCAAGGACAGCCCUAGGUGGGAUGCCAUCUGCUUUUAUCAUACUUGGUCACGCCUAAGGGACUCCAUGCUUUCCCUACCCUCUUCCUCUCUCUGGGCCUGGUGCUCACAGAUUCUGCUCCUUUCUCAGUGUGGAUGGCCUCUCAUGAGUGCCCUCUGGGAAACCACAGCUGUCUCACCUGUAGUUAUCCCCCAAGUCUUGAGCCCUCAGAGGUCAGGAUGUCCUGGGGGUUCCCUCAGGCAC
ensembl:lincRNA 4930429P21Rik RIKEN cDNA 4930429P21 gene